rnacentral:rRNA from 1 species
AGUGAACGCUGGCGGCGUGCCUAAUACAUGCAAGUCGAACGAAGUGGCGCACGGGUGAGUAAUAUAUAGUUAAUCUGCCCUACACAGAGGAACAACAGUUGGAAACGACUGCUAAUACCUCAUAGUGUAGGAUGAGACUAUAUCGUAUCAGCUAGUUGGUAAGGUAAUGGCUUACCAUGGCUAUGACGCGUAACUGGUCUGAGAGGAUGAUCAGUCCCAUUGGAACUGAGACACGGUCCAAACGCCUACGGGAGGCAGCAGGAAGGAAGAUUGCGCAAUGGGGGAGACCCUGACGCAGAAACGCCGCGUGGAGGAUGACGGCCUUCGGGUUGUAAACCGGUUUCAGCCAUGACGCGGUAGUGGCAGAAGAAGCACCGGCUAACUACGUGCCAGCAGCCGCGGUAAUAC